GGUUGACCUCGAAUCAGGUAGGACUACCCGCUGAACUUAA
rnacentral:rRNA from 4 species